AUUUUCACCAACAGGUAACUGGUUGUUGCUAGGGAACCCUAACAACUCAAUAGAGGGAGGCGACGUCCGAUUGCCUACUGUAGAGAGCCCAAAACACAUCUCCAUUUAGUGGUAUACAGAAUAACAGUGACGUUUAUUAUAUCCAUCUUAGUGACCCAUAUUUCUUAGCCUACUACAUCUCUCCUUGUCUUUAAUAAAAUUUAAUUAUUAAUUAGCUGACCUAAUUAAACCCGAAUGGUAUGAAACAACAUGAUAAUUACUAAAAUAUGUAAACAUAUUUAUCCUAACAUGAAAUAUUUUGAACAAUGUAGCGUUCUUGCUGUGCAUCGAGCUUCAGUAUAACUUAUAAGUAUCCUGCCAUGUUCUUUGGUUCAAUCUUCAUAUUCCUGUACGUCACAAACUUCGAAGUUGACGGUUGCGCUUGCCUAAAUUUUAUGGAAAAUAUGUAUUAGUAAAUAACUUAUUAAUAAUAAUUCAUUCAAAGCUAUAUACUUUACCGUAUUUUUCCUUUUUUUUAUAAUUUACAUAAAAAAAAUGUGUUGAUACUUAUGCUUUUCAGUGGAAAUCUCGUGCAUCCGCGUUUUCUUCAGUUUCAUUCUUCAUGAUUAUUUCAUUCUUCAAAACGCCUUUCCAAUGUUAGUGGACAUUUUGCUUUAAUUUUUUUUCUGAAAUUGUAACUAAAGUUGCAUCUAACAUAUCAAAUAUGUUAACAUAUUCUUAUUAUAUAUUGCAAUUUUAGGGAAAACUUUCCGUUUUACGGUUCAACGAAAAGCUACCGCAAACUGGAAAAUUUUCUUAACAACCGUAAUGUUAUAUUGCAUAUUUAAUGAGAAACUUCAUUAUAGAACAAACUACAGAAUAAACAAAUGUAUUAUUUUCUUGGGA